rnacentral:sRNA from 1 species
GCAUUCGUGUUCAUCCUUAAUAUUUAAAUGUGAGUUGUAUUUUAUGAUAAUACGUAACAUACUUUAAGAUUGAGGAUGAACACGGAUGC